UUCCAAAAUAUCAGGGGACUGUUAAAAAACCGAGGCGUGUAGCCUAGGACAUCGUGUGGCAUUACGCGAUGGGGCUGAGGCUAACUUUAGCCCAUAUAACCAAAAUAACAUGUUUCGUUCUUCAUACUAUCACAUCAUAGUUUUAGAUCAUCUUAGGUCGCCUACUAAUUAGGUCACUUUGUCAUCAGGCAAUCUGAUGGCUCCUCAAAAGAAGAACGCUUCGAAGAAGAACGCCUCGAGCUCGUCCUCUCAUCAGAAGAACAAAGGGAAGCAGGUCGCCUCCGAAUCUCCCAUCCCGCACUUCAGUCCGAUGGUGGAGAAGGAGCUUGUGAUCGAUCCCAACGCGUAUUUUGAGGCUGAGCGUAUAGUCUCGAAAAUCACAACUCAAGGGAAAAUCAACAAAAUCCUAUUGAGUCACAAUAUAGAUGUAGGAUCCGGCAGUCUUCUCGCCCGACCUGCAUUUGAGGGAGAACGGAGUUGUGCCCCCUUUUAAGAUGACUACACGGCCUGGAGCGAUGAACACAUGAAGGCCGGCACAUUCCUUCCUUUGGACCAAUACUUCGCAGACUUCCUGAACUACUUGAAGCUGGCUCCAUUCCAGCUCCCCCCGAACUCCUAUAGGCUUAUGGCGGGGUUGAAGUACUUAUUUAUGAAGCACGAGGGGGAGGUCCCCACUCCGGCAGACAUAUUGUACUUAUUCUGCCUCAAAGCUAGCCCUAAUCAGAGAGGGCGAGGUGACGGAUUCUACUACCUCACGCGGUUUCCCAACUCUGCCCUCGUCAUCGAGCUUCCCAGUCAUCCAAAUGACUAUAAAGAUCUAUUCUUUAUGUCGAAUGGCUUCAAUAACUGCGAACACCGGUACUUCAACCGUCCUCGUAAGUCUUCUACCCUUAUGAACUCAGCUCGUGAAUUUUUUUCCUUUAAAACAUUCCUUUUUUGUACAUGUUUUAAUUGAUUUUGUUUCUUGUGCAGCCAAUUUGCGAGGACGGGAAAAUCUGUGACCCUCGGUGGUCAAUACAAAAAAUUAUCCAGUCUUCCCCCUGGCAAAAAGGACUAUCGCCAGGUCGUGAACGAUGCCACCAUGUUGGCAUGCGAGCUGAUCGGAGAGGGGCAGACAUUAGCUCUGAGGACCCGGGCUCCGCUCCCGACCACCCCUAAGCUUCCCGCUCCUCAAGAGGCCUUACCGACCUGUGAGGACAGCGAGGGGGAAGAGGUCGAGGUGCCUCUUGUCCGAAAAAGACGGGCUCCCGAGGCUGUCUAGGAACCCAAUCUAGACCGAGUUACGUCAGGGGCAACAGCCGGCCCCUCCGGCCAAGGUAACCCAUACCUCUUUAGGGAAUUAGAUAGGGUUAUUGCUGACUUUAGGUUAGUCUAUUAUAAUCUGAAUCAUCUCGUUAGCCAUCAUCCUUCCAACCCGGAUCUAAACGUAACCCUACUCCAGUGCGUAGUGGUACGCCAUGACAAUAGUUAUCCUAGGGGCACAAUCGUAGUUGACAACACCCUAAAUUUUAGAUCUGCCAUUUUUGAAGAAUAUGGGACAAACCGUAGGUCCUGGCCUUCUCUGCUCCAAGGUGCAUUUGCCCCUGGGUUCAGACAAUACGUAGAUGAGUCCAGCCCCGAGAAAGGACCUAAAAUCCUUAGGAUCCAAGAAGUAUUAAUUGUAGAUUCCCCUUCUCCUCCAUUAGUUCCAAGGCUGGAGGUGGUGCCUAUCCCGGUCAAAACACCUGAGAUGGUGAUAAUAGACUCCUCCCCUAGCCCGAAGGGCGAAGAGAUGGAACAUCCAGGAGCUCCCGACCUACGAACUGCUUUGCAGGCUAAGAAAGCCGGUGCGGGCCCCAUCGCGAAGAGGCUCAGGGUGGCGAAGAAGACCACCCUUGCAACAGGGAACACUUCAAAGUCCCCCGCCAAGAAUAACGACACGGGCUCGACUCAGGAGCCAGCUCCGGUGGCUAAUGUCGUUGUUGGGCAGCUUCCUCCUCCCCUGCCUCAAUUCAUGCCUCCUUAAGUUAUACAAACAGAGGCCCCACCAUCCGAAUACCUGUCGAUCCUCAAGACCUGGAGAAGAUCCCUGAAGCCUUUCGGUGUAUCAUUUAUGAGACCGUGACUCACAUGCUGGGUCAUGCUUAUAAAGCCAGCUCGAGGGAUUUGAGGACCAUUGAGGAGCGCAGCCCCGAGAAUGUUCUUGAGUCCGCCAUGGGGAUGAAUCUCACCUCCGUUCUGGCCCAAUACCGCAGCAUAGCUCGCGCUAGGGCCAGAAAUGAUGAACUCUGAGCCGAGCUGGACACUGCCAAGGAAAAAGAGCAGACCGCCAAAGUCAUCUUGACAAAUGCUCAGAAGAAUGAGCAGGCUGCCCAGGCUACUCUCACCUCUUCCCAGGAAAGAGAGUAGGCCGCGAAGACUGCGCUAUCUGCCUCUCAAGCUCAGACCGUCGAGGCGAAUCAUCUUGUUGAACGUCUUUAGGUCGAGAUCGGUGGGCUCAAGGCGAAACUACUCGAGGCCGAAGCUAAGGCCAAAGAAGAAAAGGUAAUGUCUUCAUUAGCCAUGGAGGAGAUGUUAUACCAUUGUUGGGCCUUCAACCAGGAUGGAAACUUCUCAUUUAUGGAGCCCGGGUUGUGGGAUUCGUACCUUGCUAAAUUCAAGGCUCGGUUCUUGCAAGAACCCUUGGAAACUGGUGAGGCUUCUGGAACGGCAUAGGGAGACGGCGAGGAGGUCACUUCUGUGGGGCGAGCUAAUGGAGCCCAAUGAUUUUUUUUUCCCUUUGUAAUUGUUUAACAGUUUUUUGAUAUUUAGACAAUUGCCUUCAAACUCAGUUCGAGGUUUUUUCUCCUCGGUGUAA